GCGGCAUGCCUUACACAUGCAAGUCGAACGGCAGCACGGGUGCUUGCACCUGGUGGCGAGUGGCGAACGGGUGANUAAUACAUCGGAACAUGUCCUGUAGUGGGGGAUAGCCCGGCGAAAGCCGGAUUAAUACCGCAUACGAUCUGAGGAUGAAAGCGGGGGACCUUCGGGCCUCGCGCUAUAGGGUUGGCCGAUGGCUGAUUAGCUAGUUGGUGGGGUAAAGGCCUACCAAGGCGACGAUCAGUAGCUGGUCUGAGAGGACGACCAGCCACACUGGGACUGAGACACGGCCCAGACUCCUACGGGAGGCAGCAGUGGGGAAUUUUGGACAAUGGGCGAAAGCCUGAUCCAGCAAUGCCGCGUGUGUGAAGAAGGCCUUCGGGUUGUAAAGCACUUUUGUCCGGAAAGAAAUCCUUGGUUCUAAUAUAGCCGGGGGAUGACGGUACCGGAAGAAUAAGCACCGGCUAACUACGUGCCAGCAGCCGCGGUAAUACGUAGGGUGCAAGCGUUAAUCGGAAUUACUGGGCGUAAAGCGUGCGCAGGCGGUUUGCUAAGACCGAUGUGAAAUCCCCGGGCUCAACCUGNGAACUGCAUUGGUGACUGGCAGGCUAGAGUAUGGCAGANGGGGGUAGAAUUCCACGUGUAGCAGUGAAAUGCGUAGAGAUGUGGAGGAAUACCGAUGGCGAA
rnacentral:rRNA from 1 species